AUUGAACGCUGGCGGCAGGCCUAACACAUGCAAGUCGAGCGGAUGAAGGGAGCUUGCUCCUGGAUUCAGCGGCGGACGGGUGAGUAAUGCCUAGGAAUCUGCCUGGUAGUGGGGGAUAACGUCCGGAAACGGGCGCUAAUACCGCAUACGUCCUGAGGGAGAAAGUGGGGGAUCUUCGGACCUCACGCUAUCAGAUGAGCCUAGGUCGGAUUAGCUACUUGGUGGGGUAAAGGCCUACCAAGGCGACGAUCCGUAACUGGUCUGAGAGGAUGAUCAGUCACACUGGAACUGAGACACGGUCCAGACUCCUACGGGAGGCAGCAGUGGGGAAUAUUGGACAAUGGGCGAAAGCCUGAUCCAGCCAUGCCGCGUGUGUGAAGAAGGUCUUCGGAUUGUAAAGCACUUUAAGUUGGGAGGAAGGGCAGUAAGUUAAUACCUUGCUGUUUUGACGUUACCAACAGAAUAAGCACCGGCUAACUUCGUG
rnacentral:rRNA from 1 species